rnacentral:rRNA from 1 species
AGUGAACGCUGGCGGUAGGCCUAACACAUGCAAGUCGAACGGCAGCACAGUAAGAGCUUGCUCUUACGGGUGGCGAGUGGCGGACGGGUGAGGAAUACAUCGGAAUCUACUUUUUCGUGGGGGAUAACGUAGGGAAACUUACGCUAAUACCGCAUACGACCUACGGGUGAAGGCAGGGGAUCUUCGGACCUUGCGCGAUUGAAUGAGCCGAUGUCGGAUUAGCUAGUUGGCGGGGUAAAGCCCCACCAAGGCGACGAUCCGUAGCUGGUCUGAGAGGAUGAUCAGCCACACUGGAACUGAGACACGGUCCAGACUCCUACGGGAGGCAGCAGUGGGGAAUAUUGGACAAUGGGCGCAAGCCUGAUCCAGCCAUACCGCGUGGGUGAAGAAGGCCUUCGGGUUGUAAAGCCCUUUUGUUGGGAAAGAAAAGCAGCAGGUUAAUACCCCGCUGUUCUGACGGUACCCAAAGAAUAAGCACCGGCUAACUUCGUG